UUCGCCUGUUUUUCAAAAACAUCGCCUCUUGAUAUCUCAUAAGAGGUCCAGCCUGCCCAGUGACACUGUUCAACGGCCGCGGUAUCCUAACCGUGCGAAGGUAGCGUAAUCACUUGUUCAUUAAAUGUGGACUAGUAUGAAUGGCACCACGAAGGCUAUACUGUCUCCCCUCUCUAAUCAAUGAAACUAAUCUUCCCGUGAAGAAGCGGAAAUAAAUCUAUAAGACGAGAAGACCCUAUGGAGCUUUAAACUCAGUAACAAUUACUAUUUAAAUUUUCUUAAUUAACACUUAACCCAGUUCUAUGUCUACUAGUUUUAGGUUGGGGUGACCGCGGAGUAAAGUAAAACCUCCUCAUUGAACGGACUUAAACUCCUGAGCAGUAAUCUACGAAUUUAUGCACUAAUAAACUAACAUUUAUUGACCCAAUUAAUUGAUCAACGAACCAAGUUACCCUAGGGAUAACAGCGCAAUCCACCUCAAGAGCUCCUAUCGACAGGCGGGUUUACGACCUCGAUGUUGGAUCAGGGUACCCAAGUGGUGCAGCCGCUACUAAAGGUUCGUUUGUUCAACGAUUAAAACCCUACGUGAUCUGAGUCNAGAACCGGA
rnacentral:rRNA from 1 species